rnacentral:tRNA from 1 species
GCGGCUGGGCUCAGUGGCAGAGCGCUUGCCUAGCACGCAUGAGGCACUGGGUUGGAUCCUCAUCACCGCA